rnacentral:lncRNA from 1 species
CGUCACACAAUGCAGACAAAACACACACACACAAAACUUUUAAAGUAUUGUAACUCUAAAGUAAAGAAAGCUUUAGGACAGUAAUACAAAUCCAUCAGCAAAGGACAUGCACAUCUUAGACUGAGAAUCAUGGGACCUACCCUCUCUCCUCAGCUCCCUUGAGCUCUCCAGGUAACCUGGGAAAAGAGACUGAAGGAGAUGGCUAAGCCUCAGUUUCCAAAGAUUCCAGGGACCUUCUGAAGUGUUUGGAUGAAACACUUUACUUAAAAUAAUUUAGUUAUCUUAUCCCUUACUUCUAACUACAAUGAAUGAAUAAAGGAAACACACCUGCAAUUAUCUAUCCAGAUCCCUCUGCCCCAGUAGCUGUCAAGUCAUUCAUUUCAAGUUACAGAGAACAAGAGAAGAGCUCGCCUUGCCUCCUUUCCUUCAGCACCAUCUCUGUUAGGGAGAGUUGCCCAGCUUGUGAGAGAACUUGUACCCU